ACAACGAUAAAUAAGGAUCUCAUAAUUUAGAAAAGAGACCAACAACAAUUCUGAUAAGAAGCAAGAGAGGGCUCGUGGAUCAAACGUCUACGAACACAGCAUUCAAGAUCAAGAUCAAGUCUAAAGGCCCUUGAAUUCAAGUACAAGUCAAGAUCAAGUUCAUCAAGACCCUUAAAUUCAAGUACAAGUCGAGAUCAAGUUCAUCAAAUCCACAAAUUCAAAACUCAAGAUCAAGAUCACAAGAUGCAAGCUCAAGCCCAAAGACCCUUGAAUUCAAGUACAAGUCGAGAUCAAGUUUAUCAAAUUCAAAAAUCAAGACCCAGUUCAUCAAGAUUCAAGAUCAGGAUCAUAAGAUUCAAGAUCAAACCCCAAAAGUCCUUGAAUUCAAGUACAAGUCAAGAUCAAAUCCAUCAAAUUCACAAAUCAAG
rnacentral:lncRNA from 1 species